ncrna:unclassified sequences L31-Gammaproteobacteria ribosomal protein leader
CAUGCGGUGCCUGGCACCUGGGCAGCCAAAAUGCCCCGUGAUCAGGUAGCGGCAUGACCUAACGAGGU